AUUUUGAGUUAAUAGAUGGAAAAUUUGUCUGGUUUUUAAUUACUGUGCAAAAUUUCAGACAAUUUGGAUUAGUUUUGUACAGUAAUUAAAAACCCGACAAAGUUUCCAUCUAUUA